rnacentral:lncRNA from 1 species
AGUGUAAAUCACAUGAGCCGUGACUUUGGUGCCAGCUGAGUUUUUAUUUUGAACGCACUUGUCAACAAAAAAAAAGUUUUUUAAUCUAUCUUGUAUGGAAAUCAGUUUUAAUUAGAUGAGCCUUGAAGUUAAGUGUACUCGAAUAUUUUUUGUAAAUAUUGAGCAAUAACCAUAACAAAGUUUGUAUACCCACGUUAGAUGCUUUCUUAGAUUGUACAAGACGACCUUUAUUUCAACGAUGUCCUUAUCCAGAUCAGUCUCUUCGGACGAAUUCGAGUGAGCGUGGUUUACAGUAUUGCGAUAGAGGUCCAGUUGGGCUUGAUUCAGCAUGGUAAAUAUCCAAUUAUCAAGUUUUUCAGUAAUUUUCUUGACUAAAUAACACACUUUAGGAUUGGUUAAUGUUAGAAUUUAUUUAUAAAUAAUGCAAUGAAUUAAGGUUAAAUCAUUCUUUCAAAAUCUGGUUCAAAAUCUCGCAAUCACACGUAAUGAUUUGAUCCGGCGAUGCUGCAAAAUAGGGAAAAUUGGGAGAAAUUACCAAUCCACUGUCAGUGUGACGAACGUUCCGGUGCUUUUGAAUCUGGAAGCACUUAAUCGCUGCAGCAACACCGUUGGCUUCGUUGAGUUUCCCGUGGAGACAAGCUGGUAUACUUUGAUUUUGAUUUUCCGUGAAGAUUGAUCGAAGGAGCGACAUUGAUGGGUUUGAAGAACUCGUUCUGACACACCGUUUGAAAACCGAAGCUGUUACUCUACCUAUGCGCAUCUUAAACCAGAGAGGGUCACCCGAUUGCUGUCUCGUCAUCUCCUCGACAAGGUCACAACUUUCUUGCUGAAUACUCCAGUCCAUAAAUUUAACCGCCGCUCGAAGUUCUUCUAUGGGUAGAUGCUCAAAGCAAUCGUCGUACAGGGCAAGCAUCGACAGAUUUUCUAUUUUCUGCCUAUUUCGGACAAGUUCUUCGUCCUCGUCCGUACCGUUGGGCCUUGAGAAAAAUGCCUUUGCUACUGCCACGUCCUGACCAGAUUCCAUAAGCUUUGAAAUUAGUGCUUUGUAGUCUUCGUCUGACCUCUCCAGAUUAAAAAAGCGCAAAUCACAGAACGUUUCGCGAAUCCGGCCGAAGGACACUUGCUCGAUAGGUACAAACAUGUUCUGGUUUGCC